AUUGAACGCUGGCGGCAGGCCUAACACAUGCAAGUCGAGCGGAUGAAGGGAGCUUGCUCCUGGAUUCAGCGGCGGACGGGUGAGUAAUGCCUAGGAAUCUGCCUGGUAGUGGGGGAUAACGUCCGGAAACGGGCGCUAAUACCGCAUACGUCCUGAGGGAGAAAGUGGGGGAUCUUCGGACCUCACGCUAUCAGAUGAGCCUAGGUCGGAUUAGCUAGUUGGUGGGGUAAAGGCCUACCAAGGCGACGAUCCGUAACUGGUCUGAGAGGAUGAUCAGUCACACUGGAACUGAGACACGGUCCAGACUCCUACGGGAGGCAGCAGUGGGGAAUAUUGGACAGUGGUCGAAAGCCUGAUCCAGCCAUGCCGCGUGUGUGAAGAAGGUCUUCGGAUUGUAAAGCACUUUAAGUUGGGAGGAAGGGCAGUAAGUUAAUACCUUGCUGUUUUGACGUUACCAACAGAAUAAGCACCGGCUAACUUCGUG
rnacentral:rRNA from 1 species